rnacentral:lncRNA from 1 species
UUGGUACUAUAAAAUUAAUGAACUUUUACCACAUAUUUUUUCCUUUAGGAAACUGUAUUAGAUAUCCUUGACGAAGAUGCAAAUACAUUCAAGUCAGAAGAUGUUUGUAAAGAGAAAAACACUUCGCCAAAUGCUAACUUGUGUUGCCACAGUGCUAAAAAUAUUAUUGGAGAAAUUGACAAAUUGACCAAAGAUCUAGUGACUCUACGUGAUGGACUGCAUGAGCUAGUAACUUGCAAGAAGUCAGCAUGGUAUGAAAAGGUCAAAUCAAGAGAGAGAACACUUCCAGAUGAAAGGGAGUUUUGUGCUGCUGUCAGGACAAUAACAGAAGCUGUCAAGCUAAAACUAUCAGAUCUUAAAUACCAUUGUGCCCAUAAAAAAAAUGGAAUGCAUGGUCUGUACAGGCUGGUAUUUAAAGACAAGCAUUCUGCUAGCAAAACAGGUUUCCUCCGUUCGGUAUCAAAGGAGCCCAUUACAAAUCUUGUUAAUGCCACAGAGGUGAUCAGUGAACUGCAAAUGGAAGAGGCCACUCUGAAGAGGGAGCUGAAGCGGCUGCAGGAAGAGUGCAGACACAAGCUAGAUGAGAUUGCAGAAGGGCUGGUUGGAGUGAUUUGUAUCCCACCUAUGAAAAGAUAAGUUCUCAUCAAGAAAGGACAAGGGCAUAGGGCUGUUUGAUCAGAAGACAUAUUAUAAACCGUUGCCUGAGAGUGGGUAAAAUGAAGAUCUGAAUGUGGUUCUAAUUCUCAGCCUUGAAAACACAAUUUGUCACUUCUUUAUAAUAUGUAUUGGGGCCAGAACACUGCACUCUUAAUGGUUCUGUCUGCUGCCCUUUAUUACUUACCUUACCAAUUAAAUUCUGCAGCAGGUGUUAGAGGGGGGUGGGGUGUUUUUAAAUCUCUCCUUCAUCUAGCUUUCUGAUGCUCCUGCCUGGUACAGGCUCACUUUAAGAACUCUUGUUUCUAGACACACAAUAUUUGCAGGUCUGCAGACUGAAAUACUAAUUACAUUCAACAUUUAUCAGCAAGUAAGAGUAUUUAUAACUAAUAAAAAACCAGGAACUGAGCA